GAUUCACUAAAGCACUGAGAGGUUUCUGACUGAUAUUUUCUUUGAAAAGUGGGGAAAAAAAUCUCUGCCUCUGUGCUCCUGACUCCAUAAACCUUCAGACAGAGAAAUAAACCCAUUACAUUACAUUGAUCCUGAACAGCAGCAGGCGUCUCUCGUUGCUGGCCGUGUGUUUCGGUCUGCUGUCAGAGAGUUGUGUGGCUCGGGCCUGUAAGAAAAUGGAGCAUCGAGGACUUGGUGACUUUUGAAUGAAUGUUUCAUCAGAUUGAGAUGACUGUGAAGGAACUGAGGAAAUAAAAAAUGUGAUCUUUAAUGCUGACCUGAGGCAAAGGGGAAGCCGGAGCUGGUGAACUUUUGCACAAUAAGGAGAAACGGGACAAGAAGAUGGCAUCAGAGGAGACAAAUGUGUUUUCUCUUUUUGGAAGCUCAAAUUCCAUCUUCAGUCUUGAAGACUCAAGGCAAUGACCUUGGUCUUUUAACUUUAUUUUUUAUUUUUUUAUGGGUAUCAUGCUCUCGUGUCUUUUACUGUAUUGUAUUGUUACUCAUGCUUCAAUUCUCUGAAGCCUCUCUCUCUAAGAAUGACACAAACACAAAACCAGAAGUUGUCUUUUUAAAAAAGUUCUUCUCUGUUCAGACAGGAACUGACCAACAUGCUUCACAUUCUUGGACAUCUUGGUAAAAUGCUCACACUAACAGAGCAGAUUUGGCUCAACUCUUCUUGGUUUUAGUAUCAGACACGUAGCUUUUCAUUGCAGUGAAUACUUUGAUUGUAUCUUCACAACAUCGGCAUAAUGAGCCUUUCAUUUUUUUAUCUUUUCCAAAUGUGAACCUCAUGCAGCAGAUUAAAGUCGUGUAUGGUUCAGUGCACUUUAAAGUUUUGUUUUACAAAUAAAGAAACUUCUACCAUAA